AGAAUAGUAUUUAAAUAAAUAAAAUCUAAUCUGCAAUUAGAAAGUGCUGGGGGCCUAUUCU
rnacentral:tRNA from 1 species